UACAGAGGUCUCAAGCGUUGUUCGGAUUCAUUGGGCGUAAAGGGUGCGUAGGCGGCGCGGUAAGUCGGGUGUGAAAUCUCGGAGCUUAACUCCGAAACUGCAUUCGAUACUGCCGUGCUUGAGGACUGGAGAGGAGACUGGAAUUUACGGUGUAGCGGUGAAAUGCGUAGAUAUCGGAAGGAACAUCAGUGGCGAAGGCGACUUCCUGGACCAAUACUGACGCUCAGGUGCGAAAGCGUGGGGAGCAAACAGG
rnacentral:rRNA from 1 species